GACGAACGCUGGCGGCGCGCUUAACACAUGCAAGUCGAGCGAGAACCAGGGCUUCGGCCCUGGGGACAGCGGCGAACGGGUGAGUAACACGUGGGUACUCUGCCCUCGGUUCUGGGAUAGCCCGGGGAAACCCGGAUUAAUACCGGAUAGCCUCUAGAGCCCUCGGGCUCGUGAGAAAAGGUAGCUUCGGCCUCCGACCGAGGAGGAGCCUGCGGCGGAUUAGCUUGUUGGCGGGGUAACGGCCCACCAAGGCGACGAUCCGUAGCUGGUCUGAGAGGACGAUCAGCCACACUGGGACUGAGACACGGCCCAGACUCCUACGGGAGGCAGCAGUGGGGAAUCUUGCGCAAUGGGCGAAAGCCUGACGCAGCGACGCCGCGUGAGGGAAGAAGGCCUUCGGGUUGUAAACCUCUUUCAGGAGGGACGAAGCCACUCGGGUUAAUAGCCCAGAGGGUGACGGUACCUCCAGAAGAAGCCCCGGCUAACUACGUGCCAGCCGCCGCCGUAACAC
rnacentral:rRNA from 1 species